rnacentral:lncRNA from 1 species
ACCCGCCUAUCUUAAAGUAACUUCGGAUGCUAUAGCAAUAGCUACCUCGGCAAUAAUUUUGCUCAGUCCAAGUCAGGAAAGAACUUCAUAAUCAAAUUUCUGCAGCCCAAAAAUCCCAAGUCAAAUGCCCCUACAUAAGCUUCGGUGACUUCAUCUUGAAAUGCCUUAGAAGGCUUGUGAUCCUCCACGGCACUGACAGCAUUUUCUUUUUCUCUCUCAGCCUAUCAUUGAAAGACCAAAAUGCUUUUGUCUCAAGCUACCACAGUCUUCUUGAUCUCUUUUAGCUUGGCCUAUAAUUUGAAGACCUCCUUCUGCAACUCAGCAAGCUUCUCCUGAUUCUCAUUUAUUUUUCUCUACUGGUUUAGUAGAGUUUCAUUCUUCUGUUUUAUUUGGCCCAUUUUCACUUGGAGUUGUUUCUUCAGGCCUUCAGUUGUUUUGGCUUCUUUGGCUACCUUCUCUUCGGUUAUCUUAUUUUUUUCUUGCUCGACUAUGAGUCCCUCUUCCAAGGAUUUUUUAUUUUCAUAGAGUCAGACAAGUUUUCAUGCAUCAACUUGAGGUCCAGCACUACCUGCAAAGUAAAAAUGAGAUCGAUAAAUAACCGAUGUAAAAAGAGAGAGAGAGAGAGAGAGAAGAUAGUCAAGUUCAAGAAACUUACAUCGAGCAGGCUAGUGUAGCUAUGAUUCAUUACUUCUUCAAUUAUACAGUCUCAUCUCCAUGCAUCCAAAUCUCUUUGAGGCAAAACUAUUGUGAGUAUAUCUCAGUCAAGUCUUGUGUUUCCAAUAAAAAUACUUCGGAGAAAUCAAUUCUCUCAAUC